rnacentral:rRNA from 1 species
AGGCCCAUGAAGGGUACUGUACAUGCAAGUCGUACGCUUCUUUUUCCACCGGAGCUUGCUCCACCGGAAAAAGAGGAGUGGCGAACGGGUGAGUAACACGUGGGUAACCUGCCCAUCAGAAGGGGAUAACACUUGGAAACAGGUGCUAAUACCGUAUAACAAUCGAAACCGCAUGGUUUUGAUUUGAAAGGCGCUUUCGGGUGUCGCUGAUGGAUGGACCCGCGGUGCAUUAGCUAGUUGGUGAGGUAACGGCUCACCAAGGCCACGAUGCAUAGCCGACCUGAGAGGGUGAUCGGCCACAUUGGGACUGAGACACGGCCCAAACUCCUACGGGAGGCAGCAGUAGGGAAUCUUCGGCAAUGGACGAAAGUCUGACCGAGCAACGCCGCGUGAGUGAAGAAGGUUUUCGGAUCGUAAAACUCUGUUGUUAGAGAAGAACAAGGAUGAGAGUAACUGUUCAUCCCUUGACGGUAUCUAACCAGAAAGCCACGGCUAACUACGUGCCAGCAGCCGCGGUAAUACGUAGGUGGCAAGCGUUGUCCGGAUUUAUUGGGCGUAAAGCGAGCGCAGGCGGUUUCUUAAGUCUGAUGUGAAAGCCCCCGGCUCAACCGGGGAGGGUCAUUGGAAACUGGGAGACUUGAGUGCAGAAGAGGAGAGUGGAAUUCCAUGUGUAGCGGUGAAAUGCGUAGAUAUAUGGAGGAACACCAGUGGCGAAGGCGGCUCUCUGGUCUGUAACUGACGCUGAGGCUCGAAAGCGUGGGGAGCAAACAGGAUUAGAUACCCUGGUAGUCCACGCCGUAAACGAUGAGUGCUAAGUGUUGGAGGGUUUCCGCCCUUCAGUGCUGCAGCUAACGCAUUAAGCACUCCGCCUGGGGAGUACGACCGCAAGGUUGAAACUCAAAGGAAUUGACGGGGGCCCGCACAAGCGGUGGAGCAUGUGGUUUAAUUCGAAGCAACGCGAAGAACCUUACCAGGUCUUGACAUCCUUUGACCACUCUAGAGAUAGAGCUUCCCCUUCGGGGGCAAAGUGACAGGUGGUGCAUGGUUGUCGUCAGCUCGUGUCGUGAGAUGUUGGGUUAAGUCCCGCAACGAGCGCAACCUUUAUUGUUAGUUGCCAUCAUUCAGUUGGGCACUCUAGCAAGACUGCCGGUGACAAACCGGAAGGAAGGUGGGGGAUGACGUCAAAUCAUCAUGCCCCUUAUGACCUGGGCUACCAACUUGCUACAAUGGGGAAGUACAACAAGUUUGGGAAAUCCCCGAGGGUAAGUUAAUUCUUUAAAGCUUCUUUCACUUUCGGAUUGAAAGGUGGCACUCCCCUCGCUUGAAACCGGAAUUCCUUUGU